AUGACCGCACUUAUUGACCGUUGGAGGCCAAAGACACAUUCGUUCCACUUGUCAUGUGGAGAGAUGACCGUGACCUUGGAGGACAUGGCAAUGAUCAGUGGCCUUCCAAUCAAUGGAGAAGCUUUGACCGGCACCGUCGUAACUGCUAAUUGGCAAGAUCGUGUUGGCCAAUUGACAGGUGUUUUCCCCGUGCCUCCUGAAGAAGACGAGCGUGACAGUGAGAAAGUGUUGCAUCAUUGGCUCUGA
rnacentral:rRNA from 1 species